AGCAGCCGCGGUAAUUCCAGCUCCAAUAGCGUAUAUUAAAGUUGUUGCAGUUAAAAAGCUCGUAGUUGAAUUUCGAGACCGGUCUACUGGUCGUGCUUUUGUACGUACUGGUUUUAUUGGUUUCUCCUUUCUGACGAACUAUAAUGCCAUUAAUUUGGUGUUAUAGGGAAUCAGGACUGUUACUUUGAAAAAUUAGAGUGUUUAAAGCAGGCUCACGCUUGAAUACAUUAGCAUGGAAUAACGGAAUAGGACGUUUGAUUUUAUUUUGUUGGUUUCUAGGAUCGACGUAAUGAUUAAUAGGGAUAGUUGGGGGCAUUAGUAUUCAAUUGUCAGAGGUGAAAUUCUUGGAUUUAUUGAAGACUAACUACUGCGAAAGCAUUUGCCAAGGAUGUUUUCUAUUAGUCAAGAACGAAGUUAGGGGAUCGAAGACGAUCAGAUACCGUCGUAGUCUUAACCAUAAACUAUGCCGACUA
rnacentral:rRNA from 1 species